GAAGCUGGAAUUGCUAGUAAUCACAGGUCAGCAUACUGUGGUGAAUACGUUCCCGGGCCUUGUACACACCGCCCGUCACACCAUGAGAGUUGAGAAUACCCGAAGCCCAUGUCAAAGUGGUCGAAGGUAGGCUUGAUGAUUGGGGUGAAGUCGUAACAAGGUAUC
rnacentral:rRNA from 1 species